AGAGUUUGAUCCUGGCUCAGGAUGAACGCUGGCGGCGUGCUUAACACAUGCAAGUCGAACGGUGAACACGGAGCUUGCUCUGUGGGAUCAGUGGCGAACGGGUGAGUAACACGUGAGCAACCUGCCCCUGACUCUGGGAUAAGCGCUGGAAACGGCGUCUAAUACUGGAUACGAGUAGCGAUCGCAUGGUCAGCUACUGGAAAGAUUUAUUGGUUGGGGAUGGGCUCGCGGCCUAUCAGCUUGUUGGUGAGGUAAUGGCUCACCAAGGCGUCGACGGGUAGCCGGCCUGAGAGGGUGACCGGCCACACUGGGACUGAGACACGGCCCAGACUCCUACGGGAGGCAGCAGUGGGGAAUAUUGCACAAUGGGCGCAAGCCUGAUGCAGCAACGCCGCGUGAGGGAUGACGGCCUUCGGGUUGUAAACCUCUUUUAGCAGGGAAGAAGCGAAAGUGACGGUACCUGCAGAAAAAGCGCCGGCUAACUACGUGCCAGCAGCCGCGGUAAUAC
rnacentral:rRNA from 1 species